rnacentral:lncRNA from 1 species
GAGAUUCGAGUUUGAUUCUGUCUCGAAUGAGAUAAUACAUAUUCUAUCUAAUUUGAUGAAAUUUUAAUUUUUUUUUUUUUGGUCUUGGAGAGUCGUAGGAAGAAAGGGAUGAAUCGACCGUGACUGUUAAUUGAGAUACUACAAGUUACAAUUGUGAGUAAAAAUGUGGUUGCCUACUUUGAGCUAAGGCUCAAUUGAGGGAGUGAAGAGAAGAGGGGAGAUGGCGUUACACAGGUUCAUCUCAAUGUCUACGAUAUAACACAUGUGAACAACUACCUCUGUUGGUCUGGCAUAAUUCCAUUCUGGAAUAUACAGUAUGUUUAUUCUAUUUCUCUUCAUAACUCUUCUCUCUUAUAUAACUUUGUUAUUUGAUGAAAACCAUUUUUAUGAGUCUGUAUAUUAUGGACCAUUUUUAUUUAUUUAGAGUUUUAACACUGUUUAUCAACUUCAUAGGAGCUCAUUAUCUUAAAUUAAAUUAUUCAGUGGAGGAAUCCACUUGAAAGCCAAAUUUAUUUAGUUGGUCUGUCGUUGUUAGUUGAAACGAAGAAUCAAAGCCGUCAGUUGGGUAGGUUUUUGUUUCUGAUAUCUAUGAUCAUUUGUAUUCGGUAGCUACGUUGAUGGAAUGAGUGAUUAGAGAAUGCUUUGUUUUCUUUGACCCUUCAAGUCUCGAAAUAGGCCAAAGCUUCCCAUGCAUCAAGAUAAGAGAUUAAAUCAAAGAUCAAAUUUUGUUUGGUAUAUAGAUAUUACUUUCCAUCCUGUCUGAAUGAAAUAGAGAAAGAAUAAUAUGUGUAACCUAUUCUAUUUCCAUCUUCGUUUCUUCACAGGAUCUGGUGAUGCCCAUUACUGUUUCAUUAGGUGCUG